UGGGGAAUUUUGGACAAUGGGCGAAAGCCUGAUCCAGCAAUGCCGCGUGUGUGAAGAAGGCCUUCGGGUUGUAAAGCACUUUUGUCCGGAAAGAAAUCCUUGGCUCUAAUACAGUCGGGGGAUGACGGUACCGGAAGAAUAAGCACCGGCUAACUACGUGCCAGCAGCCGCGGUAAUACGUAGGGUGCAAGCGUUAAUCGGAAUUACUGGGCGUAAAGCGUGCGCAGGCGGUUUGCUAAGACCGAUGUGAAAUCCCCGGGCUCAACCUGGGAACUGCAUUGGUGACUGGCAGGCUAGAGUAUGGCAGAGGGGGGUAGAAUUCCACGUGUAGCAGUGAAAUGCGUAGAGAUGUGGAGGAAUACCGAUGGCGAAGGCAGCCCCCUGGGCCAAUACUGACGCUCAUGCACGAAAGCGUGGGGGAGCAAAACAGGAUUAGAUACCCUGGUAGUCCACGCCCUAAACGAUGUCAACUAGUUGUUGGGGAUUCAUUUCCUUAGUAACGUACUAACGCGUGAAGUUGACCGCCUGGGGAGUACGGUCGCAAGAUUAAAACUCAAAGGAAUUGACGGGGUCAUAGCUGUUUCC
rnacentral:rRNA from 1 species